GAUGAACGCUGGCGGCGUGCCUAAUACAUGCAAGUCGAGCGAACAGAUUAGGAGCUUGCUCCUCUUUCAUUAGCGGCGGACGGGUGAGUAACACGUGGGUAACCUACCUAUAAGCCUGGGACAACUUCUGGAAACCAGUGCUAAUACCGGAUAAUAUCUUUAAACGCAUGGUUUAAUAUUGAAAGACGCUUUUGCAUUCCCUUAUAGAUCUCUCCCGGUCUCCUUAGCUAGUUGUUAGGGUAACGCUUUACCAAGGGAACGAUGCGUAGCGAACCUGAGAGGGUGAUCGGCCACACGGGAACUGAGACACGGCCCAGACUCCUACGGGAGGCAGCAGUAGGGAAUCUUCGGAAAUGGGGGAAAGCCUGACGGAGCAACGCCGCGGGAGGGAUGAAGGUCUUCGGAUCGUAAAACUCUGUUAUAAGGGAAGAAGAAAUGGGUAAGUAACUAUGCACGUAGUGACGGUACCUAAUCAGAAAGGCACGGCUAACUACGUG
rnacentral:rRNA from 1 species